rnacentral:rRNA from 1 species
GAAAGCUUGCUUUCUUGCUGACGAGUGGCGGACGGGUGAGUAAUGCUUGGGAAUCUGGCUUAUGGAGGGGGAUAACGACGGGAAACUGUCGCUAAUACCGCGUAGUGUCGAGAGACGAAAGUGCGGGACUGAGAGGCCGCAUGCCAUAGGAUGAGCCCAAGUGGGAUUAGGUAGUUGGUGGGGUAAAGGCCUACCAAGCCUGCGAUCUCUAGCUGGUCUGAGAGGAUGACCAGCCACACUGGAACUGAGACACGGUCCAGACUCCUACGGGAGGCAGCAGUGGGGAAUAUUGCGCAAUGGGGGGAACCCUGACGCAGCCAUGCCGCGUGAAUGAAGAAGGCCUUCGGGUUGUAAAGUUCUUUCGGUAUUGAGGAAGGUUGAUGUGUUAAUAGCACAUCAAAUUGACGUUAAAUACAGAAGAAGCACCGGCUAACUCCGUGCCAGCAGCCGCGGUAAUACGGAGGGUGCGAGCGUUAAUCGGAAUAACUGGGCGUAAAGGGCACGCAGGCGGUUAUUUAAGUGAGGUGUGAAAGCCCCGGGCUUAACCUGGGAAUUGCAUUUCAGACUGGGUAACUAGAGUACUUUAGGGAGGGGUAGAAUUCCACGUGUAGCGGUGAAAUGCGUAGAGAUGUGGAGGAAUACCGAAGGCGAAGGCAGCCCCUUGGGAAUGUACUGACGCUCAUGUGCGAAAGCGUGGGGAGCAAACAGGAUUAGAUANCCUGGUAGUCCACGCUGUAAACGCUGUCGAUUUGGGGGUUGGGGUUUAACUCUGGCG